GAAAUGCGAUACGCAGUGCGAAUUGCAGAACGCGAGUCAUCAGAUCUUUGAACGCAAGUGGCGCCGGUUCGCAGCCGGCAUGUGAGGCUCAGUGUGUAAGGAAAUCACACAAGUGAAUGUGGUUGAAGAUGCGCGUAAAAAGUGCGUUUUCUCCCAUUAAACGAGCGGAUGAAUGUUUUCGUUUCGACACAUUCUUCUCUCCGGAAGUAGUCACUAGCUCCCUAGUGUCCUACGGAGAUACCUUGUGUUGUCCUAAACAUACCGUUUUCAUAAAACAACAUUCCUCACUCUACACCUGAGCUUUGCAAGAUUACCCGCUGAACUUAA
rnacentral:misc_RNA from 1 species